CCUACGGGUGGCAGCAGUGAGGAAUAUUGGUCAAUGGGCGGGAGCCUGAACCAGCCAAGCCGCGUGAGGGAAGAAGGUACAGCGUAUCGUAAACCUCUUUUGUCAGGGAACAAAGGCGGGGACUAGUCCCCGGAUGAGGGUACCUGAAGAAAAAGCAUCGGCUAACUCCGUGCCAGCAGCCGCGGUAAUACGGAGGAUGCGAGCGUUAUCCGGAUUUAUUGGGUUUAAAGGGUGCGCAGGCGGCCUGGUAAGUCAGCGGGAAAAGCCCGGGGCUCAACCCCGGCGAGCCGUUGAAAAUGGCGGGCGGGAGUUGGAGAGAAGUACGCGGAAUGCGCGGGGUAGCGGUGAAAUGCUUAGAUAUCGCGCAGAACCCCGAUUGCGAAGGCAGCGUACCGGCUCCACACUGACGCUGAGGCACGAAAGCGUGGGUAUCGAACAGGAUUAGAUACCCUGGUAGUC
rnacentral:rRNA from 1 species